UGGGGGAUCUUCCGCAACGGGCGAAAGCCUGACGGAGCAACGCCGCGUGAGUGAUGACGGCCUUCGGGUUGUAAAACUCUGUUUUUCGGGACGAAUAAUAUCUGUGUAAAUAAUGCAGAUAGUUGACGGUACCGAAGGAGGAAGCCACGGCUAACUACGUGCCAGCAGCCGCGGUAAUACGUAGGUGGCAAGCGUUGUCCGGAAUUAUUGGGCGUAAAGGGCGUGUAGGCGGGAUAUUAAGUCUGUUGUAAAAAUGCGGAGCUCAACUCCGUAGAGCGAUGGAAACUGGUAUUCUUGAGGGCAGGAGAGGAAAGCGGAAUUCCCAGUGUAGCGGUGAAAUGCGUAGAUAUUGGGAAGAACACCAGUGGCGAAGGCGGCUUUCUGGACUGUAACUGACGCUGAGGCGCGAAAGCUAGGGGAGCGAACGGG
rnacentral:rRNA from 1 species